UUCAAUAUUUUAUAGAAAAUUAUAGAAUUCGAUAAAGAGGCAUAUAUUACAAUAAAAAUCCACAUUCAAAAGAUGAAUCUCUUCCAUGUGAUUUAAACACAUUUGAAAUACAUUCUCCUCCCAUCAUCACCACAUAUUCAAAUACAAGUGUCAGGGCUGGAUAUCACUAUUUAUAUGAUGUGAUGGACUCUGUUAAACUUUGGAGAACAGAGAAGACCCCAGUACAAACAACACACACCAUGUUCUCUACAUCUCUACUGCUCCUGCUGGCAGCUACUUCCUAUGUGCGUGGUGAGGAACUGACUCAGCCUGCUUCCAUGACAGUCCAGCCAGGCCAGAGUCUCUCCAUCAACUGCAAGGUUUCAUAUUCAGUUACCAGCUAUUAUACAGCUUGGAUCCGACAACCUGCAGGAAAAGCUCUAGAGUGGAUUGGAUACAUCAGUAGUGGUGGUAGUACAGCUUACAGUGACAAACUGAAAAAUAAGUUCAGCAUCUCCAGAGACACUGCUACUAACACAAUAACAAUUGGAGGACAGAAUCUGCAAACUGAAGACACAGCUGUGUAUUACUGCGCAAGAUACACAGUGACACAGAAUAGUGGAUUCUCCUUACAAAAACUUUGAGACAUGUUAGAGACAUCCUCUCAGUGCAACUAAUAAACCA